AUCGUUUUGAUAUAAAAUACUCUUCUACUUUUAUAGAAACAGGAUUCAUCAAAAAUUCAAUAUCUCAAAAGGGACAUCAUAAGGACUCCCUUGUGAGGAUGUGGGAGCCCUACAGUUUUCACUUUGUCCAACGGUCUAUAAUUUUUGUAAAUGCAAAAUCUACAAAAAAAUAGAUAGUAAACUGGAUCAAGAAUGUUGAAUGAAAUAUGUUCUGCAAAUUUGGACGACAGUUAAUUGCAAUUAUGUACCAUUUCAACAAUAGAAGUAGUAUAGACUUGCAAAUCCAUACCAUUACAUCACAGGAAGUAGUAUGGUUGUCUGAGCGAAGCCAAUUGGAAGUACGUACCUCUUAGUGAAGCUAAUUGGGAGCACACCCUCUGUCUUGUUGUGAAGCUGAUUGGAAGCAGUACAUAUAUACCUGUGUCUGCAAAAACUAAUUAGAAGUAGUACCCCUGGCAGAGCGGUCCCAAUUAGAAGCAUGUAACUCUGAGGGAAGCCAAUUGGAAGCAUGUACCUCUGCAAAAUUUGAUCAAAC
rnacentral:lncRNA from 1 species